CACGUAGGCACCAAGCGUUGUCCGGAUUUAUUGGGCGUAAAGAGCUCGUAGGCGGUUCGGUAAGUCGGGUGUGAAAACUCUGGGCUCGACCCAGAGCCGCCACCCGAUACUGCUGUGACUUGAGUUCGGUAGGGGAGCGGGGAAUUCCUGGUGUAGCGGUGAAAUGCGCAGAUAUCAGGAGGAACACCAGUGGCGAAGGCGCCGCUCUGGGCCGAGACUGACGCUGAGGAGCGAAAGCGUGGGUAGCAAACAGG
rnacentral:rRNA from 1 species